rnacentral:tRNA from 1 species
GCGGCCGUAGCUCAGUUGGUAGAGUGCUCGGUUGUGGCCCGAGUGGUCAUGGGUUCAAGCCCCAUCGGUCGCCCCA